AACGUAGGGGGCGAGCGUUGUCCGGAAUUACUGGGCGUAAAGAGCUCGUAGGCGGUAGUUCAAGUCAGGUGUGAAAUCCGACGGCUUAACCGGAGGGCUGCACCUGAUACUGGGCUGCUAGAGGUAAGGAGAGGAAGGUGGAAUUCCCGGUGUAGCGGUGAAAUGCGUAGAGAUCUGGAGGAAUACCGGUGGCGAAGGCGGCCCCCUGGACAAAGACUGACGCUCAGGCACGAAAGCGUGGGGAGCAAACAGG
rnacentral:rRNA from 1 species